rnacentral:rRNA from 1 species
GACGAACGCUGGCGGCGUGCUUAACACAUGCAAGUCGAACGGAAAGGCCCUGCUUUUGUGGGGUGCUCGAGUGGCGAACGGGUGAGUAACACGUGAGUAACCUGCCCUUGACUUUGGGAUAACUUCAGGAAACUGGGGCUAAUACCGGAUAGGAGCUCCUGCUGCAUGGUGGGGGUUGGAAAGUUUCGGCGGUUGGGGAUGGACUCGCGGCUUAUCAGCUUGUUGGUGGGGUAGUGGCUUACCAAGGCUUUGACGGGUAGCCGGCCUGAGAGGGUGACCGGCCACAUGGGGACUGAGAGACGGCGCAGACUCGGACGGGCGGCAGCAGUGGGGAGUAGGGCAGAACGGGCGGAAGCCUGAUGCAGCAACGCGGCGUGCGGGAUGACGGGCUUCGGGGUGUAAACCGCUUUCGCCGGUGACGAAGCGGGAGUGACGGUAAUGGGUAAAGAAGCACCGGCUAACUACGUG